UCUAUCGCGCCGCGCUCGAUUCAGUUUACGAUACUUGACGUGCUGCGCUUCCAUAUCCGCGAGUCGUGAGAUGCACUUAAUCGAUUAUUUGCGCAAUUUACUCGAACGUCGCUUCCUGGUAAUACAACAGUUUUGCGAUCUAUGCACGUAUCGCCUCGUUUCAUCGGUCAGUGGCAGAAAUUGCGGUGGAUCAUGGACGCGAGCGCUUCCACCUACGCAUAUCGCCGCGAAAGACGGCGUCCAGCAAAGGAACAUCCACGAAGUCUCGGGAGAUGUGGUGCCGAUAAACAUGGUAAAGGGAAUCGGACAUCUCAGAGAUCCCCGACUUAACAAGGGCUUAGCAUUCACCUUGAAAGAAAGGAUAGCUCUGGGGAUACACGGAUUGCAACCUCCCAGAUUUAAGACGCAGGAGGAACAGCUGGCACUAUGUAAAGCUUCAGUGAUGAAGUACACGGAGGAUCUGAACCGAUAUCUGUAUCUCGUGGAGCUUCAAGAGAGGAACGAGAGAUUAUUUUUCCGUCUGUUGAGCGAAAACAUCGAACAGAUGAUGCCAAUUGUCUAUACGCCCACCGUCGGUCUGGCCUGCCAAAAGUUUGGCGUGAUCUAUCGCAGGCCUCGCGGUCUUUUCAUUACUAUAUACGAUAAGGGUCAUAUCUACGAGAUCUUGAAUAACUGGCCGGAGCAAGCCGUGCGAGCCAUCUGCGUGACAGACGGUGAGCGAAUUUUGGGUCUCGGCGACCUCGGGGCAUGCGGCAUGGGUAUCCCCGUCGGAAAACUAGCGCUUUAUACAGCUCUGGCUGGCAUUAAACCUCAUCAAUGCCUGCCGAUCACUAUCGACGUGGGUACUAAUAACGAGCAAUUGAGGAACGAUCCUCACUACAUCGGUCUCAAUAAACCUAGGAGCCAAGGUGCCGAGUAUGACGAAUUAAUCGAUGAAUUUAUGGCUGCCUGCGUGCAAAAGUACGGACAAAACGUUCUUAUUCAAUUCGAAGACUUCGGCAACCACAAUGCCUUCCGUUUCUUAGACAAAUACAGAAACAAGUACUGUACGUUCAAUGAUGAUAUACAAGGUACGGCUGCGGUUGCGGUAGCUGGAAUCCUAGCAUCCAAGAGAAUAACUAAGAAGAGAAUGGCGGAUAAUAAAUUUGUCUUCCUAGGUGCCGGAGAGGCGGCCAUCGGAAUAGCUGAUCUCUGCGUGAAAGCGAUGGAGGCUGACGGUUGUACUCAACAGCAAGCGCGUGAUAAUAUCUGGAUGAUGGACAUCGAUGGAUUGCUCGUAAAGAAUCGGCCGGAAGGUAAUUUGGAAGGCCACAAGAUCUGGUACGCGAAGGAUUACAAAGUUAUGAAAACGUUACUCGAAGUCGUGAGAGAGGUGAAACCUACCGUCUUGAUAGGCGCUUCGGCAGCGGCAGGGGCUUUCACUCCCGAAGUUCUCAAAGAGAUGGCAAAGAAUAACGAGAGGCCGUUGAUCUUUGCUCUAAGUAAUCCAACUAGCAAAGCUGAAUGUACAGCACAGCAGGCGUACGAUUAUACCAAUGGUAGGUGCAUAUUCUCCUCCGGUUCGCCAUUCGGUGAAGUGAAAUACAACGGAAAAACGUAUAAACCUGGACAAGGCAAUAACGCGUACAUCUUUCCUGGUAUCGCUUUAGGCGUUAUCGGCACCGGAGUACAUCACAUCACCGAGGAUCUUUUCUUAAUCUCGGCACAAGCUGUCGCCGAUCAUGUAAAAGAUGAGGAUCUUCAGAGGGGUAGUGUGUAUCCGCCACUAAAUAUCAUCCGGGAAUGCUCUAUUGACAUCGCGGUUAGGAUAGCCGAUUACGCUUACGCCAAAGGUGGUUUGGCGAGCGAAUAUCCGGAACCGAAAGACAAGCGACAAUUUAUCAUGAGUAAGAUGUACGAUGCCAAUUAUGACAGUCCACUGCCAAAUUUAUACGAAUGGCCGGGUGAUUAUGCCAAGCCUCGUAUGUUACCGGAAAAAGAUACAAUAGAAAUCCGCCACGAUUUAAAACAUCUGUAGUGAAUUUCAUCAGCUGGGAGUAUAAAGUUGGAGGCUAUCAUUAUUAUUCUUAAAAAAUAUUGAUGUUUCUUCGACUUAUAAUCACUCAUGGCAUAUGCAAAUCUGCAAAAUGGCUUGCAAACUAUUUUAAUUAUUAUAACACAUUGGUGAAACGCGAGAUGACUACUUUGAUAUAUAUCUUAAUCUUAAUUUAAUUUUUUGUAGUCAAAAAAUAAAUCUCUAUCGUUGCGACUGGUAUUAUAUGAAUAUUAUAUAUUAUUUAGUAUUAAGAAAUUACAAGUGUUAUUGACAUGAUUAUACUCGAUGUUUCUUAAUACUUUUAAAUAAUCUCAUGUACUUAUUUAUUUAAUAUAAUGACGUAGCGAUGUUGAACACAACGCAGAAUUUUAUACAUAUAUGUUCGAGUAUAUAAUGUAUACAACUAUUCAUUAAUUUCGACGUAUGGAUUGUCAAGAUAUUCCAAUAUACUAUAGAUUAUUUAUUUUUUUAACAUCUUGAUUUAAAAUGACUACAAAACUAUUUUUAAUAACAUAGUAAUACUACUAUCGUUAUAUCAUAUAACAUACAAAAUACAUCAUACUUAUUUUGUAUUUUAGACUUGUAAUUAAUGAAUAAUUGCUCUUCUU